rnacentral:sRNA from 1 species
AACAAAAACUAUUUUAUAAAAUUUAUUUAAUAUUUAAUUAUUUAAAUUUAAUUUAAUAUUAACGGUGAUUAAUAAUAUUUAAUCACAAAAAACAUAAACAUAAAUAAAAUGAAAAAUAUAAAAUAAAAAUUGUGGGAUAAGGUGUUGUAAUUUUAUCAAACAAAACUAUUGUAGAGGGAAAAAAUUAUGUAGGUGUGGAAUAACGAUGUGGAAGAGAGAGAAAACGAUGUGAAGUGUUAAAAGGGAAAAAAAGGGUGUUGUAAAUGGGUAACCAUUGUAGAUAGUCUUAGGAAGUGAAUGGUGACUUUAAGAUUUGCAGAUUUCGAAAGAAAAAGAAAAAAAUGCACUAAUGUCACCAAUCAGACAUAUGUGUGUAAUUUGUUUUUUUUUACAGAUAAUUUGGCACACACAUUUCAAAGCAUGUUAAUACACUAGGGAUAAAAGAAACACACUCUACUAUCGUCCAAGGGAUAUUUGGCAGCGCUUAACUAAAAACUUGCAUUACACAGUAAGUAAUAAAUCAAUUA